GCCUCCCUGGCCCAAUUGGUAGUCGGUUCCACUGCCCAACGAUUCUUGUAAUCGAAAGGCACUCUCGCAGGUUCGAUUCCUGCAGGAGGCG